GAACCAAGACAGAGCAAGGGCAUCAGAGCGUGUUAUUGGCCUUGGAUAAUGACUUACUCUCCUGACUCCUCUCUAAUCCAUAGUGAGACAAAGGUUACUGCAGGUCAUUCUCCCCCUGGCAGACAGCAGCAUCGAUCACAGAGCUUCUACCUCAUCCUUAUCAAGGGAGGAAGAAGGUGCCCCGAGAGUAGACGCUGAUCUUGGGUCAUUUGGGCAUUUCCCCCAUUAAGGUUAAGUUUAGGAUUGGGGAGAUGAUCCGUAGCUAGGGGAAACGUCACCCAGGGGACAGACCUAAUCGUUGCUCUCUAAGUGGGAGGGGCUUAUCAUCUGGGAGCCUCAACAACAUCAUGAUUCUGACAAGACAGAGAAGAGUCUAUCCAGAUCAGGACACCUCAAGAAACACCAGCAGAGAGGUAUAGGGAAGAAACCUCACCACUGCUGCUCUGACUGUGGGAAGAAUUUUACUAAACAGAGGGAUUUACACCAGAGAGAAACCGUACCACUGCUCUCAGUGUGGGAAGGGUUUCGCUGCAUCUAAAACCUUAAAAUCUCAUCAGAGAAAUCAUAUAAAUGCUUCAAACAAUCAGGAGCCCUGACUACACACCAACGCAUACACACAGGAGAGAAGCCAUAUAGCUGUGAUCAGUGUGCGAAGAGCUUCAGUCAUUCAGGAGCCCUGACUACACACCAACGCAUACACACAGGAGAGAAGCCGUAUAGCUGUGAUCAGUGUGGGAAGAGCUUCAGUCAUUCAGGAGCCCUGACUACACACCAACGCAUACACACAGGAGAGAAGCCGUAUAGCUGUGAUCAGUGUGGGAAGAGUUUUGCUCAAGAUUUCACUCUGACUAAACACCAGCUCACAUACACUGGAGAGAAACCUUACUCCUGUCUAUGUGGAAAGAGCUUUGCUCAUUCAGGGUCACUGAUAAAACACCAGAAAGCACAAACAUGUUUUCUUUCAUCUCCCUCCUCUCUGGCACUGGUUUCAGAUCCCUAAAUAAAGUUUCAAUAGAAAACAUCUUGUGAAGAGUCAUCCAUCUCCCAUUCUCUAACAGUUUAUGUCUGAUUACCAUGGUAACCUGUGUCGCAUAAUAUGCAGCUCUGGAUCCAUAUGUAUCAAGCGUCUUGGAGUAGGAGUGUUGUGUGUGUGUGGUGGGGAGGAGGUGUUCAGAGCUGUAUCUUAUUUAACUCCUAUUAUCCAUUAAAUAACUGUAUAAUGUUGAAUAAUGUUUCAACAAUACUAGGUGUGUAUUGUUAAGUUCUGAACAAACAG